GCUGGGUUGGGCCCGUCUGUACCUGUGGCUGGGGGUCUUUAGCAGACCCGCGCGGUUCGCGUUGCUCUGGGGGUCGGCUCGGGCCUGGUUGGGGUUGACCCAGCCCUGCCCGGCCCGCUGUUGCUGCCGCCCCCUGCUGAGCCGGCACAGUCGUGCAGCGUCGCCCCGGGGCUGGGGACAGGUUCUCGAGGCAGACCCGAAAACACGGGAAAAAAAUAAAUAACAAUAAAUCCGAAAAGAACGAGUGUGGCUGGGAGGCGGUUGUCCCAGAGCUAUUGAGUGAACGGUGCUGGGCUGUGCUCAGUGCCCGCCCUGCCCUCUGCUACCGCCGCCGCUUAGUGCAAGCAUUCACCCAAAUGCUUGAACGUACUUCUAGCUAUGUGGUUGGGCAUCGUCUCUUCUGCUCCUUGGCACCUGGUUCUGUGACUUGCAGCCCGGUGUGCUGGGAAAGCCUUGUCUCCCGGAGACAAAUCUGUCUGUGACAAACCGCAGGGCAGGGCUGUAGGAUGGGACAGGAGCGUGGCGAGCAGCCCAGCUUGCUGCAGUUUUGCCCAUCUAUGAGGGGUGAUUGCAUCCCAGAUGGGUUUGUAAGUGCCUCAGUCAUGUGAGCUCAGCCACCAAACAUGACGGAGUUGUGCUGGGGACCCCGUUCUCUUUCAUGUCCCUGGAGCUUCUGUCAUGUUUUCUUAUCCCCCUCUGCUUCUGUGGAGCUGAGAAGAAACUGUGUGUGUGGAGGUACUGUGCCUCCUCACUGAGGAGAGGGGCAGUCUGUUGUGGAGGGCACAUUGCUGGCAGUGAGUGGGGUUGGAUCUGCAGCUGGAGCUGAGAGGAGACUGUUCCCUUCCACAGUAAUUCGUUUGUAAGGAGGACUGCUGAAGGAAGGAGGCCAGGGUUUGACAGAAGAAAGGAGUGAGAACGCCCACAUGCCAAAACUGGGAUGCUGCUGAAGAAAAAGAGGUCAGCUUCUUGAAAGGUGAACUCGGGCUGCUUGCAGAGGCACCUUCUGUCAAGUGCAGGAAGAUGGAAUCCCAUUACUGUCUGCAAAUUAAGCCUCUGGGGACCGGUUUCAAACAGAAAGCAGACUGCAAGCUGUGCUGUCUGUGCCAAGAACUGUUGCAAGCUGAUUUUGAGGAUCGGGUGCAGGCGAUUUCAUGGCAUGGAGGAACUCCUCACUGCCACAGGAAGGACACUUCCUGCAGAGCUGUGCCACACUGGAGGUGCCGAAGCCAUUACCAGCUUCAUAAUAUAGACUUAAGUUUUAAAAUGUCUGGAUCUGGAUACAAGCUGAAAUGAUGUCAUUUUACAACAGAGAAAUAAACCUCUCCGGAUCACUGCUGCUCCAACCUGUGCCAUGUGAUUGGUGCAAGUGGGCCUGGAUGGCAUGUCACUGGGUGCACCUGGGGAGAUGUGUGUGUGCCUCUAAUGGGGCUGUAAAGCUGUGGUGAUUACUGCUCUUUCUGAAAAGACUGCCUUUACAAGCCUACCGUUAGCUGAUGUUUGUUACUGUUGUGGGCAUCACAGGUGCUGACAGAACCAGCAGGCCCGGCUGUUGGCCUGACAAGGGCUGCAGCCCCUUCUGACCUUGGUCCUUCACCCUUUGUGCCCUUCCACCUGUCCAAUCUGCAUUAGUCACCCCAAGCCAGAUCUAAAGAGGUUAAUCAGAGAGGGCUCUUCUUGAGUCUUCCUUCUGGUGACCAGGUGAAGGCUUUGAUGCCUCCAAAUUGUAACUGGAUGGAGUUCCCUGCUUAGCCACCACCUGACUUGUUGACUAUGAAGUCCACAGUAUCUUCCACCUUCCUUACUAUUUUGCACACUUGGAUACACUCGUACCUGCUGAGUAAUGUCCCUGACUCACCCAAUGGACAUUCCUCCAUCUCCUUUGCCUCUAGGGUUCAAUCUUGGGUCUUGGAAAAUACUCUGAAAUCCACAUAAAACAUAAGAGGAAGUGCUGUAAUGCUCCCAUCUCUAACUAAGCCCCUUAAUUUUUAAUCCAGUAACUCUGCUUAAAGUGUUUGCCUAUGUAGGACGCCAAGAGUGACCCCCAUGUGUCCACCCUACUGAAACUGCUUUGCUGUGGCUCCUUGUAAGCAGGAUUCUAG